rnacentral:rRNA from 1 species
AUUGAACGCUGGCGGCAGGCCUAACACAUGCAAGUCGAGCGAGCGGCGGACGGGUGAGUAAUGUAUGGGGAACUGCCCGAUAGAGGGGGAUAACUACUGGAAACGGUGGCUAAUACCGCAUACCAUCGGAUGUGCCCAGAUGGGAUUAGCUAGUAGGUGGGGUAAUGGCUCACCUAGGCGACGAUCCCUAGCUGGUCUGAGAGGAUGAUCAGCCACACUGGAACUGAGACACGGCCCAGACUCCUACGGGGGGCAGCAGUGGGGAAUAUUGCACAAUGGGCGCAAGCCUGAUGCAGCCAUGCCGCGUGUAGGAAGAAGGCCUUAGGGUUGUAAAGUACUUUCAGCGGGGAGGCGUUACCCGCAGAAGAAGCACCGGCUAACUCCGUGCCAGCAGCCGCGGUAAUUC